UGUGGUCAAGUUUCUAAGAGCAAACGGUGGAUGCCUUGGCAUCUGGAGCCGAAGAAGGACGUAGAAAUCUGCGAUAAGCCUCGGGGAGCUGAUAAUCGAGCUGUGAUCCGAGGAUUUCCGAAUGGGGAAACCCCGCCAGGCGACUUGUCGACCUGGUGACUCCCGCCUGAAUAUAUAGGGCGGGUAGAGGGAACGUGGGGAAGUGAAACAUCUCAGUACCCACAGGAAGAGAAAACAACAUGUGAUUCCGUGAGUAGUGGCGAGCGAAAACGGAUGAGGCUAAACCGAUCAUGUGUGAUAGCCGGCGGGCGUUGCAUGGUCGGGGUUGUGGGACACGUCGCUCAGUUCUGCCGGACUGGGACGGUUACAGCGCAUCAUAGUCGAACCGGUUUGAAAGCCGGGCCGUAGUGGGUGCCAGCCCCGUAGACGAAAUGGUGUUAUGGCCGGAUGUGUAUCCCAAGUAGCACGGGGCCCGAGAAAUCCCGUGUGAAUCUGUCAGGACCACCUGAUAAGCCUAAAUACUCCCAGAUGACCGAUAGCGGACAAGUACCGUGAGGGAAAGGUGAAAAGUACCCCGGGAGGGGAGUGAAAUAGUACCUGAAACCGUUUGCUUACAAACCGUCGGAGCCUCCUUUGUAGGGGUGACGGCGUGCCUUUUGAAGAAUGAGCCUGCGAGUUAGCGAUAUGUGGCGAGGUUAACCCGUGUGGGGUAGCCGUAGCGAAAGCGAGUCUGAAUAGGGCGAUUCAGUCGCAUGUCCUAGACCCGAAGCGAAGUGAUCUAUCCAUGGCCAGGUUGAAGCGACGGUAAGACGUCGUGGAGGACCGAACCCACUUCAGUUGAAAAUGGAGGGGAUGAGCUGUGGAUAGGGGUGAAAGGCCAAUCAAACUUCGUGAUAGCUGGUUCUCUCCGAAAUGCAUUUAGGUGCAGCGUUGCGUGUUUCUCGCCGGAGGUAGAGCUACUGGAUGGCCGAUGGGCCUCAACAGGUUACUGACGUCAGCCAAACUCCGAAUGCCGGUGAGUGAGAGCGCAGCAGUGAGACGGUGGGGGAUAAGCUUCAUCGUCGAGAGGGAAACAACCCAGACUACCAACUAAGGCCCCUAAGCGUGUGCUAAGUGGGAAAGGAUGUGGAGUUGCACAGACAACCAGGAGGUUGGCUUAGAAGCAGCCACCCUUGAAAGAGUGCGUAAUAGCUCACUGGUCAAGUGAUUCCGCGCCGACAAUGUAACGGGGCUCAAGCACACCGCCGAAGUUGUAGAUUUCGCACAUGGACAAGCCUUCGUGGUUCAGUCGUGCGGAGUGGUAGGAGAGCGUCGUGUGGCGAGUGAAGCGGCGGAGUGAUCCAGCCGUGGACGCCACACGAGUGAGAAUGCAGGCAUGAGUAGCGAAAGACGGGUGAGAAACCCGUCCUCCGAAAGACCAAGGGUUCCAGGGCCAGGUUAAUCCGCCCUGGGUAAGUCGGGACCUAAGGCGAGGCCGACAGGCGUAGUCGAUGGACAACGGGUUGAUAUUCCCGUACCGGCGAACAACCGCCCAAGCUAAUCCAGUGGUGCUAAGAGUCCUAACCCGGCACUUGUUGAUCCCUUCGGGGUGAGACGGGCCGGUCUAACGCUCGACCCCAUGCUGGUGCGGUUAGCGUAUGAACAGGUGUGACGCAGGAAGGUAGCUGAGCCAGGCGAUGGUAUCCGUAAGGUGAACCUGGUGUAAGGAUGUAGGGCUGACGAUAGGCAAAUCCGUCGUCUGUACGCCUGAGAUCCGACGCGUACCCGUAAGGGGAAAUCAGUGAUCCUAUGCUGCCGAGAAAAGCAUCGACGCGAGGUUGCAGCCGCCCGUACCCGAAACCGACUCAGGUGGUCAGGUAGAGAAUACCAAGGAGAUCGAGAUAAUCGUGGUUAAGGAACUCGGCAAAAUGCCCCCGUAACUUCGGGAGAAGGGGGGCCGGACACGUGACCGGAUUCACUCCGUGAGCGUUGAAGGCCGCAGAGACCAGUGGGAAGCGACUGUUUACUAAAAACACAGGUCCGUGCGAAGUCGCAAGACGAUGUAUACGGACUGACGCCUGCCCGGUGCUGGAAGGUUAAGAGGAAGGGUCAGCCUCACGGCGAAGCUCUGAAUUUAAGCCCCAGUAAACGGCGGUGGUAACUAUAACCAUCCUAAGGUAGCGAAAUUCCUUGUCGGGUAAGUUCCGACC
rnacentral:rRNA from 1 species